rnacentral:rRNA from 1 species
UACGUAGGGGGCAAGCGUUGUCCGGAAUUAUUGGGCGUAAAGAGCGUGUAGGCGGUCCGGUAAGUCAGCUGUGAAAGUCAAGGGCUCAACCCUUGAAUGCCGGUUGAUACUGUCGGGCUAGAGUCCGGAAGAGGCGAGUGGAAUUCCCGGUGUAGCGGUGAAAUGCGCAGAUAUCGGGAGGAACACCAAUGGCGAAGGCAGCUCGCUGGGACGGUACUGACGCUGAGACGCGAAAGCG